rnacentral:rRNA from 1 species
UGCCAGACUCCUACGGGAGGCAGCAGUGGGGGAUAUUGCACAAUGGGGGAAACCCUGAUGCAGCGACGCCGCGUGAGUGAAGAAGUAUUUCGGUAUGUAAAGCUCUAUCAGCAGGGACGAAAAUGACGGUACCUGAGUAAGAAGCCCCGGCUAACUACGUGCCAGCAGCCGCGGUAAUACGUAGGGGGCAAGCGUUAUCCGGAAUUACUGGGUGUAAAGGGAGCGUAGACGGUGAAGUAAGUCUGGAGUGAAAGGCGGGGGCCCAACCCCCGGACUGCUCUGGAAACUAUUUGACUGGAGUGCAGGAGAGGUAAGCGGAAUUCCUAGUGUAGCGGUGAAAUGCGUAGAUAUUAGGAGGAACACCAGUGGCGAAGGCGGUCUGCUGGACAGCAACUGACGCUGAGGCGCGAAAGCGUGGGGAGCAAACAGGAUUAGAUACCCCUGUACC